rnacentral:rRNA from 1 species
UACGUAGGGUGCAAGCGUUGUCCGGAAUUAUUGGGCGUAAAGAGCUCGUAGGCGGUUUGUUGCGUCGGCUGUGAAAUCCCGAGGCUCAACCUCGGGUCUGCAGUCGAUACGAGCAAACUAGAGUGUUGCAGGAGAGGAACGCGGAAUUCCAGGUGUAGUGGUGAAAUGCGUAGAUAUCUGGAGGAACACCGGUGGCGAAGGCGGCGUUCUGGACUGUUACUGACACUGAGGAACGAAAGCCAGGGGAGCAAACGGG